rnacentral:rRNA from 1 species
GACGAACGCUGGCGGCGUGCUUAACACAUGCAAGUCGAACGGUGAAGGGGCCUGCUUUUGUGGGCCCUGGAUGAGUGGCGAACGGGUGAGUAACACGUGAGUAACCUGCCCCCUUCUUCUGGAUAACCGCAUGAAAGUGUGGCUAAUACGGGAUAUUCUGGGUCUGUCGCAUGAUGGGUCUGGGAAAGAUUGCGCCUUUGGGUGUGUUUGGUGGGGGAUGGGCUCGCGGCCUAUCAGCUUGUUGGUGGGGUGAUGGCCUACCAAGGCGGGGACGGGUAGCCGGCCUGAGAGGGUGGACGGUCACACUGGGACUGAGACACGGCCCAGACUCCUACGGGAGGCGGCAGUGGGGAAUAUUGCACAAUGGGCGCAAGCCUGAUGCAGCGACGCCGCGUGAGGGAUGGAGGCCUUCGGGUUGUAAACCUCUUUCGCCAGUGAAGCAGGCCUGCUCCUUGUGGGUGGGUUGACGGUAGCUGGAUAAGAAGCGCCGGCUAACUACGUG